CAUAUCUAGCCUCUCACACCUAACCUAUAGUGACACUCUAAAAAUAAACAAUCAUAUCAUUGAAACCUCAAAGCUAUAACAUAAUGCAUGAUUAAUUCAAAACAAUUUGAGUGAAAAAGCAUUAGAUUUAAUAGAGAAAUUUGAAUACCAAAGGGUUAAAACUAAGAAGAUGAUUCUGAAA